rnacentral:misc_RNA from 1 species
GGAUGAUCCAGUAACUUUUCUACAGAUGCAGCCCAUCCCUGCAAAAUCUGGUGGUAAUGAAGGAUACAAGAAAUCACAUCCACUGCUCUUGGUUGUGGCAUGUGAUGACACCAAAGAUUCUGUUCCAGCUCAAACUGGGAGGGAUGGUUUCGUUGAGUCUCAGGCAGGAAGCAUCACACACUCACCUACAGUUGUGCGUUUUUACUCCUUAAGGUCUCACAACUAUGUGCAUGUUUUGCGAUUCCGAUCUACUGUGUAUAUGGUUAGAUGCAGUCCAAAGGUAGUAGCUGUUGGUCUUGCAGCUCAGAUCUACUGUUUUGAUGCUCUUACCUUGGAGAACAAGUUUAGC